rnacentral:ribozyme from 1 species
UCAACGACUUGUCUCGAUGAAAGGAGAAAACUCAGGAGUGCAGCGCAACCCAAACUUUGCAAAGCUCCAGGCAGGCUACCUGUUUCCAGAAAUCGGCCGUCGUCGAAACGCU